UACGAAGGGGGCUAGCGUUGUUCGGAAUUACUGGGCGUAAAGCGCACGUAGGCGGACUAUUAAGUCAGGGGUGAAAUCCCGGGGCUCAACCCCGGAACUGCCUUUGAUACUGGUAGUCUCGAGUCCGGAAGAGGUGAGUGGAAUUCCGAGUGUAGAGGUGAAAUUCGUAGAUAUUCGGAGGAACACCAGUGGCGAAGGCGGCUCACUGGUCCGGUACUGACACUGAGGAGCGAAAGCGUGGGUAGCAAACAGG
rnacentral:rRNA from 1 species